AAUAGAUACCCGGGUAGUCCACGCCGUAAACGGUGGGCACUAGGUGUGGGCAGCAUUCCACGUUGUCCGUGCCGUAGCUAACGCAUUAAGUGCCCCGCCUGGGGAGUACGGCCGCAAGGCUAAAAACUCAAAGGAAUUGACGGGGGCCCGCACAAGCGGCGGAGCAUGUGGCUUAAUUCGACGCAACGCGAAGAACCUUACCAAGGCUUGACAUACACCGGAAACAUCCAGAGAUGGGUGCCCCCUUGUGGUCGGUGUACAGGUGGUGCAUGGCUGUCGUCAGCUCGUGUCGUGAGAUGUUGGGUUAAGUCCCGCAACGAGCGCAACCCUUGUCCCGUGUUGCCAGCAGGCCCUUGUGGUGCUGGGGACUCACGGGGAGACCGCCGGGGGUUCAACUCGGAGGAAGGUGGGGACGACGUCAAGUCAUCAUGCCCCUUAUGUCUUGGGCUGCACACGUGCUACAAUGGCCGGUACAAAGAGCUGCGAUACCGUGAGGUGGAGCGAAUCUCAAAAAGCCGGUCUCGAGUUCGGAUUGGGGUCUGCAACCG
rnacentral:rRNA from 1 species